rnacentral:miRNA from 1 species
ACAAUUCAGCUAGGAGCUUUUUCAUUAUGUUUUCAUUUGGGAAUAAAAACACAAUGAAAAAGCUCCUAGCUGAAUUG